rnacentral:rRNA from 1 species
CAAGAGCGUAUGUAAAAGUUGUUGCAGUUAAAAAGCUCGUAGUUGAACCUUGGGUUUGGUUGGCCGGUCCGCUUUUUUGCGAGUACUGGAUUCAACCGAGCCUUUCCUUCUGGCUAACCAGUCGUUUCGGCGGCUGGCGAACCAGGAUUUUUACUUUGAGAAAAUUAGAGUGUUAAAAGCAGGCAUUAGCUUGAAUAUAUUAGCAUGGAAUAAUAGAAUAGGACGUUAUGGUUCUAUUUUGUUGGUUUCUAGGACCAUCGUAAUGAUUAAUAGGGACGGUCGGGGGCAUCAGUAUUCAGUUGUCAGAGGUGAAAUUCUUGGAUUUACUGAAGACUAACUACUGCGAAAGCAUUUGCCAAGGACGUUUUCAUUAA